rnacentral:rRNA from 1 species
AUUGAACGCUGGCGGCAGGCCUAACACAUGCAAGUCGAACGAGUGGCGGACGGGUGAGUAAUGUCUGGGAAACUGCCCGAUGGAGGGGGAUAACUACUGGAAACGGUAGCUAAUACCGCAUACCAUCGGAUGUGCCCCGAUGGGAUUAGCUAGUAGGUGGGGUAAAGGCUCACCUAGGCGACGAUCCCUAGCUGGUCUGAGAGGAUGACCACCCACACUGGAACUGAGACACGGUCCAGACUCCUACGGGAGGUAGCAGUGGGGAAUAUGGCACAAUGGGCGCAAGCCUGACGCAGCAAUGCCGCGUGUAUGAAGAAGGCCUUCGGGGUGUAAAGUACUUUCAGCGGGGAGGCGUUACCCGCAGAAGAAGCACCGGCUAACUCCGUGCCAGCAGCCGCGGUAAUAC